rnacentral:misc_RNA from 1 species
CCCCUCCAUCUCUCUCAAAAAAAAAAAAAAAACAAACAGAGUAACGCUAUUCUCUGAAAUUUAAGCUUUUUCUAAGUCGAGUAUGAUAAUCAAUAUAACUGAAAUAAUUUUUUUGAACUGGAAAUGAAACAAAAUUCCGGACAUAUAAUGAUAUAAAAUGUUACUACGCAGGGUUCGCAAGGCAAUAUCUCGUUCGUGGGAGUUGAAUCGCCUCCUACCAGAGCCCAUAUGAACAACAGACCGCUGAUCACACAAAGAAGACAAUUGCUAGAAUGUCAAAGAAUCUGGCGUCUAAUUAAACAUACACGGCGCGUCCCCUAUGGUAUGAAUUUAUGAUGAAUCGCCUUCUACGUACAGAAUUGAUGGAUGCUAACAAAAAAUCAAUGAUCUUAAACUUCAAAAAGGUCUCUAAAGUUUGAGAAACUCCAGAUCCAGUAGACAAGCAGCAGCACAAGAGAGCAGAUUAAAAGAAACUAAAAAGCAGAGGCAGAUUCAUGCAUGUAUCAAUUGUUAGACAAACUCUUUGGAAACAACGAAAUUCUCCGGAAAAUUUCGAAGAAAUUGGGGAUCGCGAAGAGGGAUUUCAGGUUCAGAAGCAGCACUUU